rnacentral:rRNA from 1 species
GACGAACGCUGGCGGCGUGCCUAAUACAUGCAAGUCGAACGCUUCUUUCCUCCCGAGUGCUUGCACUCAAUUGGAAAGAGGAGUGGCGGACGGGUGAGUAACACGUGGGUAACCUACCCAUCAGAGGGGGAUAACACUUGGAAACAGGUGCUAAUACCGCAUAACAGUUUAUGCCGCAUGGCAUAAGAGUGAAAGGCGCUUUCGGGUGUCGCUGAUGGAUGGACCCGCGGUGCAUUAGCUAGUUGGUGAGGUAACGGCUCACCAAGGCCACGAUGCAUAGCCGACCUGAGAGGGUGAUCGGCCACACUGGGACUGAGACACGGCCCAGACUCCUACGGGAGGCAGCAGUAGGGAAUCUUCGGCAAUGGACGAAAGUCUGACCGAGCAACGCCGCGUGAGUGAAGAAGGUUUUCGGAUCGUAAAACUCUGUUGUUAGAGAAGAACAAGGACGUUAGUAACUGAACGUCCCCUGACGGUAUCUAACCAGAAAGCCACGGCUAACUACGUGCCAGCAGCCGCGGUAAUACGUAGGUGGCAAGCGUUGUCCGGAUUUAUUGGGCGUAAAGCGAGCGCAGGCGGUUUCUUAAGUCUGAUGUGAAAGCCCCCGGCUCAACCGGGGAGGGUCAUUGGAAACUGGGAGACUUGAGUGCAGAAGAGGAGAGUGGAAUUCCAUGUGUAGCGGUGAAAUGCGUAGAUAUAUGGAGGAACACCAGUGGC